rnacentral:piRNA from 1 species
GUCUUGAACUCACAGAGAUUGGCUUGC